rnacentral:rRNA from 1 species
CAGCCGCCGCGGUAAUACAGAGGGUGCGAGCGUUAAUCGGAUUUACUGGGCGUAAAGCGUGCGCAGGCGGUUUUGUAAGACAGAGGUGAAAUCCCCGGGCUCAACCUGGGAACUGCCUUUGUGACUGCAAGGCUAGAGUACGGCAGAGGGGGAUGGAAUUCCGCGUGUAGCAGUGAAAUGCGUAGAUAUGCGGAGGAACACCGAUGGCGAAGGCAAUCCCCUGGGCCUGUACUGACGCUCAUGCACGAAAGCGUGGGGAGCAAACAGGAUUAGAUACCCCGGUAGUCCCUGUCUCUUAUAA